rnacentral:misc_RNA from 1 species
GGGCAGAAGGUACCCCAUUGUAUGGGAUCUGAUCUGCCC